ACGCUGGCGGCAUGCCUUACACAUGCAAGUCGAACGGCAGCACGGGAGCAAUCCUGGUGGCGAGUGGCGAACGGGUGAGUAAUACAUCGGAACGUGCCCAAUCGUGGGGGAUAACGCAGCGAAAGCUGUGCUAAUACCGCAUACGAUCUACGGAUGAAAGCAGGGGACCGCAAGGCCUUGCGCGAAUGGAGCGGCCGAUGGCAGAUUAGGUAGUUGGUGGGGUAAAGGCUCACCAAGCCAACGAUCUGUAGCUGGUCUGAGAGGACGACCCAGCCACACUGGGACUGAGACACGGCCCAGACUCCUACGGGAGGCAGCAGUGGGGAAUUUUGGACAAUGGGCGAAAGCCUGAUCCAGCAAUGCCGCGUGCAGGAUGAAGGCCUUCGGGUUGUAAACUGCUUUUGUACGGAACGAAACGGUCUUUUCUAAUACAGAAGGCUAAUGACGGUACCGUAAGAAUAAGCACCGGCUAACUACGUGCCAGCAGCCGCGGUAAUACGUAGGGUGCAAGCGUUAAUCGGAAUUACUGGGCGUAAAGCGUGCGCAGGCGGUUAUGUAAGACAGUUGUGAAAUCCCCGGGCUCAACCUGGGAAUUGCAUCUGUGACUGCAUAGCUAGAGUACGGUAGAGGGGGAUGGAAUUCCGCGUGUAGCAGUGAAAUGCGUAGAUAUGCGGAGGAACACCGAUGGCGAAGGCAAUCCCCUGGACCUGUACUGACGCUCAUGCACGAAAGCGUGGGGAGCAAAC
rnacentral:rRNA from 1 species